rnacentral:rRNA from 1 species
UACAGAGGGUGCGAGCGUUAAUCGGAAUUACUGGGCGUAAAGCGCGCGUAGGCGGCUUUGCAAGUCGGGUGUGAAAUCCCCAGGCUUAACCUGGGAACUGCAUUCGAGACUGCAUUGCUAGAGUAUGGGAGAGGGAAGUGGAAUUUCCGGUGUAGCGGUGAAAUGCGUAGAUAUCGGAAGGAACACCAAUUGCGAAGGCAGCUCGCUGGGACGUUACUGACGCUGAGACGCGAAAGCGUGGGGAGCAAACAGG